GGGGGUGUCCUGGUUUCGACGGGGCAGUACCAAAGAGCUUUCGGGCGUGCCUGGGUUGGUCGGACGGCCCAGUAAAAAUCCGACCAAACUAUGAAUGCUGAUUCUUAUGAACCAGCUGCUAUGGCUGCCUAAUAGGCAACAACCAAGCAUGAGGCGCUAGUGCCAAGAAACAGAAUCUAGCAAAGCUGAUGAGUGACCAGUCGAAACGUGCUCCGAGGCUGCCGGGUCUCCUCGUUAAAUUUUCACCGGGUUUUGUCGUUUUCACAAAAACGGACAGUCUUGUCAGCUGACCAUAACCGCUGACUACGCACGUAGGCCGGGUUCCGAGGUUGUUCCGGACGCGAGUUCGAUUCUCGCCACCUCCACCA
rnacentral:tmRNA from 1 species